rnacentral:rRNA from 1 species
AUAUUGGUCAAUGGACGCGAGUCUGAACCAGCCAAGUAGCGUGAAGGAUGACUGCCCUAUGGGUUGUAAACUUCUUAUAUAUGGGAAUAAAGUGGUCCACGUGUGGACUUUUGUAUGUACCAUAUGAAUAAGGAUCGGCUAACUCUGUGCCAGCAGCCGCGGUAAUACGGAGGAUCCGAGCGUUAUCCGGAUUUAUUGGGUUUAAAUGGAGCGUAGGCGGAUUGUUAAGUCAGUUGUGAAAGUUUGCGGCUCAACCGUAAAAUUGCAGUUGAUACUGGCAGUCUUGAGUGCAGUAGAGGUGGGCGGAAUUCGUGGUGUAGCGGUGAAAUGCUUAGAUAUCACGAAGAACUCCGAUUGCGAAGGCAGCUCACUGGAGUGUAACUGACGCUGAUGCUCGAAAGUGUGGGUAUCAAACAGG